rnacentral:lncRNA from 1 species
UAUGCCUAGGAUUCUUUUAUUAUUGUGCUUUUUUUCCUCUUAUAAUUCUUUUUAAUGGUCCUUUAUUAUUUUCAUCUCUCCUUUGUUUUUCUUCUAUUAAUACUUCAUGUUGACUCUUUGCAAUAUGAACAUGCACCAAUAAUCGAACUACUAGAUCAUUCCAUCCAAUAGAUUGUCAAACAUUAUUGCCAAUAUAUUUU